GUGACAAAAUAAAUAGUAUUCAGUGAAAACUGACGGGAAAAAGGCGAAUUAAUGAAAAACUGUAUUCAGCCCACCUGACAGCACCGCGCCUCCUCCACAGAUCUACUUUAAAGCUACUUGUCGCUCUAUCGCUCGCCCGCUCCUCUUCUCUCCCAAACCGUUCAGUUCAGAACAAAGUGCCGCCGUUAGUCGCCCUCAGCCGCGGACCGGAGGGAGGAGUGGAGAAGCUGCGGGUCCCCCGGGAGCGGAGCUGCAGGUCUGAGGUGUGACGAUCCCUGGUUCUUUUUACAGCCACUGUGAAAAAACUAGAGUUGGUAAGUUAACUGUAAAUCAUUUCACUUCAAAGGUUUUCUAAAUGUUUAUAUACAUUUUAUUUUUAAU
rnacentral:lncRNA from 1 species